rnacentral:tRNA from 1 species
CAGUGGUUAGCUUAACACAGUAAAGCAUCUCUUUUACAAAGAGAAGUUCCCCGUGCAAACCGGGACCCUCUGA